AAAUGUGCAUUUAUGGAAGGCUGUCCAGUGUUCUUCUCUGGUUUUCAUCUGUUUUGGUUCACCUGCAGAAGUGGAAGAAGCACCAGAGGAGAAGGCACAGCCUAGCAGUUCAUUUUGACAAAUCUCUAGUUCUUUAGACAAAGAUAGG